rnacentral:tRNA from 1 species
UCCCACGUGGUCUAGUGGAUAGGAUAUCUGGCUUUCACCCAGAAGGCCUGGGUUCGAUUCCCGGCAUGAUAA